rnacentral:rRNA from 1 species
AGAGUUUGAUUCGGCUCAGAAUGAACGCUGGCGGCAUGGAUUAGGCAUGCAAGUCGAACGUACUCCCUUCGGGGAGAAAGUGGCGAAAGGGUGAGUAACACGUGAGCAACCUGCCUCCGGAUCCGGAAUAAUCCAGGGAAACUUGGUCUAAAACCGGAUGAAGACAUUGGUCCGCAUGGUCUAAUGUUAAAAUAUUUAUAGUCCGGAGAGGGGCUCGCGGCCCAUUAGCUUGUUGGCGGGGUAAUGGCCCACCAAGGCUACGACGGGUAGGUGGUCUGAGAGGAUGGUCACCCACACUGGGACUGAGACACUGCCCAGACUCCUACGGGAGGCUGCAGUCGAGAAUCUUCCGCAAUGGGCGCAAAGCCUGACGGAGCGAUGCCGCGUGAGGGAUGAAGGCCUUCGGGUUGUAAACCUCUGUCAUCCGGGACGAAAACAAUGACGGUACCGGAAAAGGAAGCCACGGCUAACCACGUGCCAGCAGCCGC